rnacentral:rRNA from 1 species
GCGUACGGGGGCGCACGCGGGAAGGGAAUAGAGGGGGUGCAAGUGUUAAUCGGUAUUACUGGUCGGGAAGCGCACGGAGGUGGCUGGGUAAGUUGGAUGUGGAAGCCCCGGGCUUAACUUGGGAAGUGCAGUCAAGACUGCCUUGCUAGAGUGUGGAAGAGGGAAGCGGAAGUCCAGGUGUAGCGGUGAAAGGCGUAGAUAUCUGGAGGAACAUCAGUGGCGAAGGCGGCUUCCUGGGCCAACACUGACACUGAGGUGCGAAAGCGUGGGGAGCAAACAGGAUUAGAUACCCGUGUAGUC